UAAUAAUGUACAUUACACUUUAAGUAUGAUAUAAUUCAUACAACUUCUGUCAAGGUAAUAAUGUACAUUAUACUUUAAGUAUGAUAUAAUUCAUACAACUUCUGUCAAGGUAAUAAUGUACAUUAUACUUUAAGUAUGAUAUAAUUCAUACAACUUCUGUCAAGGUAAUAAUGUACAUUAUACUUUAAGUAUGAUAUAAUUCAUACAACUUCUGUCAAGGUAAUAAUGUACAUUAUACUUUAAGUAUGAUAUAAUUCAUACAACUUCUGUCAAGGUAAUAAUGUACAUUAUACUUUAAGUAUGAUAUAAUUCAUACAACUUCUGUCAAGGUAAUAAUGUACAUUAUACUUUAAGUAUGAUAUAAUUCAUACAACUUCUGUCAAGGUAAUAAUGUACAUUAUACUUUAAGUAUGAUAUAAUUCAUACAACUUCUGUCAACGUAAUAAUGUACAUUAUACUUUAAGUAUGAUAUAAUUCAUACAACUUCUGUCAAGGUAAUAAUGUACAUUACACUUUAAGUAUGAUAUAAUUCAUACAACUUCUGUCAAGGUAAUAAUGUACAUUACACUUUAAGUAUGAUAUAAUUCAUACAACUUCUGUCAAGGUAAUAAUGUACAUUAUACUUUAAGUAUGAUAUAAUUCAUACAACUUCUGUCAACGUAAUAAUGUACAUUAUACUUUAAGUAUGAUAUAAUUCAUACAACUUCUGUCAACGUAAUAAUGUACAUUACACUUUAAGUAUGAUAUAAUUCAUACAAACUCUGUAAGUGCCUGUCCCAAGUCAGGAGACUGUUAUGAUGUGGUUGUCACAUGUUAUAAAUCAGGCCAUUGGUUUUCUUGUUUGUAAUUAUUUAGAUUGAGUCA